rnacentral:lncRNA from 1 species
AUGGCUUUUGCUAGUUAUGCCGAAUGGACGCAUGUUAACCCCAGGUGUGAACAGGUUCUGAUUAAUGAGGUUUUAUGUUUUAGUAACGGAGGAGGAGGAGGAGGAGGAGGAGGAGGCGGCGGCAGCAGCAGCAGUGGAGGUGGAGGAGGAGGAGGAGGAGGAGGACGCAGGCGAGACUCGUAUUAUGACCGCGGCUACGACCGAUACGACAGAUACGACGAGUACGACUACAGAUACAGUAGGAGGCGCUCUCCGUCACCGUACUAUAGUCGCUACAGGUCCCGUUCACGAUCACGCUCCUACAGCCCACGACGAUACUGAGGUCGUGAACGCUGCGGAGUUGCGGGGAAUGGUCCUGGGUGUGAGAACGUUAAAUGAAGCUAUUACAUAUCUCAAUAAUCUCCAGAAAUAACAGUGGUUUAAACAGAGCUGCUGUGAUUUAGACCCAGAUUCGUUUUGGUUUAAUAGACGUCUUAAUUAGUUCUUUCCGGUGUGACCGUGAUGAUUUAUUCUCUAAAGGAGUUCAGAGGUUCUGGGCAUGCACAUGAUGAUUAUGAUGAUGAUGAUUUUCUUUAUUUUUAUUUCUCCUUUAUUUUGUAGUGCAUAUGUGUUUGUACAUACAGAAGAUAGACGGUUCUGAACAGGUAUGAAUGUGCUGAUUGAUGUGUGUAGUGUUCAGUGCGUAUUUACAAUACAUGUGUUUUUAAGACGAAUGAGAAUGUAUACGACAUUCUAACAGUACGCUUAAACCCUCGGUUGUGUGACGACACCCACUGUUGUAUUUUGUCCUUUAUUAACGUCUUUUCUUUUUCAAGGAAUAAAAAGAAAUCCAGUCCUUGU